CACUUCAUAUGGGUUAUCAACAGGUUCCCAUUGUUGCGUGUAUGUUUUCUGGACGGUCUGAAGGUUUCCCCUGCUGCGAGACUGCUGCCUUCACAGGGACAAAGAAACUGCUAGGAAAUGUGUUUCCCACUCGGAGUACACGUUUCAUAAUGUUUAGUGAUUGAGGCACCCUCUUCACUGAGCAAAUUUAUACAAGAUUUGACAGACAGUCCUGAAAACUUCUUGGAAUCAUCACUGGCUCAGUUAUCAGGCAAAGUCAAGAAAACUAAUGGAAAAACUGGAUCCAAGCACAGCAAGUCUUAAUUACAUGAGAUAGAAUGAACUGAUGAGAAUGGUUACAAUUUUUAUGAUAUUUCUGGUUAUCUUUUUGUUUUCCAGGUAUAUGGAAAAAAAUUGCUAAAGCUAGCUAUAUGAUUUUUUCCUCCCUACCUGAUCCCACUAGAAUUUGUCUUGUUAUGCCACAAUACAAUUAGGAAGUAAUAUAUCUAACAUGGUGGAAAACCACAGUCUAAUUAAACAUGAAUUCUAGACAUUUAAUCCUUUAACAAGUUAUAUUGAUAUGUUGUAAAAGAUAUUGUAAGACGAAAAACCACAGGCCCAAAAUGGCAUCACCCAUGCCCAUUAUACUAAACCUAGACUUACUAUCUGAUCUAACUGCAGUUUUAACUUUUCUCAGAAGCAAUCUUAGCCAACCAGUCUGAAAUAUUCUUGCCAAACGCCAUUGAGGCCAGCUCACGUGAGACUUCUCCUUUCCUCCACAGAAAGAAGAUGCAAUCUGCAUGAUGAAAACCCUUCCUGAUUUCCCCCCUAAAGAAAAGGAAAACGUGAAAAAAGGAGGCAAAGUCCAAGACCAUUUAAUGAUUCAUAGACCUGUUCUCAUCAAAGCUUCUCCAGGAAAUAAAAACAUAUUUUAAAUCUAAUUAUGUGACUUAUUAAGAAGUUGUUCUGGUGGAAAUGAAAUACUCAGCAAAUUCACACAGUGGUGGAGUCAGAUCUGAUGAUGGUGCUAUGCCUUGGGAACGGCAUUCCUCACCACGCAGUAUGCUCUGCGUGGGAGCCUACACAGGAAAGUCUUCAUGGAUCAUGAAACCACGUUGGACCUUAAUGUGCAUUGCUUUAUUUGGCUUCCUCUAAGAAAAUCACCUAUUCAAGUUUAGACUUUAAACUGUCUUCCUUCAGCCCAGUUGAAAUAUUUUUGUGAUUUGACAAAUGUGAUUUAUCUGGACAGUUUUCAGUCUUUUAAAUUGGAUCAGUGAAAUAAGUUAAGUGGCAUAUAAGUUAAUGACAUUGAAAACAAAUAAAGCAAAACAAAUGAUUGGUAUAGAAUCCAGAUUUUUGGUGUUUAUAUAUUAGUUUGAUCAAAUAAACUGGUUCUUCUACUAAUUCACAAAAGAGGAGGAAGAGCAGUUACCAAUAAUCCAAGAAGCCACAUUUAUUACACCUAUAAGAUAUGAGUAACCAUUAGUAGCUAUAAUUGUCAUGAAAAUAAACAGUACAUCUAGAACAUAAACUAUAUCAAAACACGUGACCAGUGCUAUCCAAAGAGAAAAGUUAACUACAUCAACCUUUUAAUGCCAUUAUAAAAGAUGCAUUAAUAUUCAUAGUCAUCUCUUCCCCUCCAUUCCAUAAAAACCUGAGCACAUUUACCCUUGUAGAGAAGAGCAGACAGUUGUGUUUGUCUCCUGAGAGCAGAAGAAAGCAGAAGUGCCCUGGGAUUCUCAUCUGAGACAGGAGGAGCAGAAACUCAGUUGCUAGAGUGACUUACAGCUACUGAGGAUCUGGCUAUUAGAGAUAGGAUGGGAGUGUCCUGAAGGCUCACUGACUCAAUGAAAGGUACAAAAAAGGAAGGAAUUCUGAGUGAAUGGGGAAAUCAGCUGUGAAAAUAUCCAGGAACAUUCAUUAGGAUGGGGGCUGUUCUGCUUCAGAAUUUUUGAAGAGUAUGACUGAAUAUAAGGUUAGGAGAUAGACCAAGUGUAACGUUCAGUGUUGGGGACAAGAUCUUUAUAAAACCUAUUCUUCUGCUAAAAUUUAAAAAUUAAAAAAUAAACUUCAAAAGCACAUGGUCACUUGUCAACGUAAUUACAAGGUAAUGAGUCUCCUAAGGUUGCAUCUAAUGUACUUAAUAAAUGUUUACAAUUUUGACAAAAAAAUAUUGUUUUAUUCAACUGUGUAAGACUCAUUUGCUUUUAAUUCUUAACAUGCAAGAGCUACAGUUUAAAAAAUCCAAGAUAGGAUAAUAUUUAUGAAUGGCUUAAACUGCUUUAAUGAAAUGUGCAAUAUUUGUUAUAUUUUAAAUGUUACAAGGGUACAGCAAACAUUUCAUGAAAAUGUUAUUGAGAGACAGUGUUUAUAGAAAAUCAAUUUCAAACAAAUCUCUGAAAUCAGACAAUCAACAGCUGAUUAUGAAGUCAUCUAAGGAUUUUCAGUAAACAAUUAAUUAUGACAUUUAAAGUUCUCAGUAACACGCCAGGAUAAGAAUUAUUCUUAUUUUCCAAAUGAAGAAAUAAGCACUAGAAAUAAUUGAAUCAGUUGCUCACCAUACUAAAUCUACCUAAUUCUGAUGCUCUUGCUCUUUACAAAAACUCUAGUGUACAAGUCACUCUCAUUAUAAAGAUAAAAAUGUGAAACACACAUGACAUUUUCUGAGAAGGGAGACUAGAUAUUUUAAUUGUUUAGUAGAGUAUAUAGAUGGACAACUUUUUACUCGUGUAAUUAACCACUGUAUUUCGCUUUAGAAUCAAAUACACUUGAAAGAUAAGAAUUAAAACUUACGCUAAGUAUCUUCAAAGGUAUGCAAGGCUCUUAUCUCUACACCAUCUGCCUGUUUUUGGUUUAGAUAACUUUAACAGACUGGUAACACCUUUUAUUAUUUUUCAUUCAACUUUUAUGUGUUGUAUAUUUACUCCAAAUGAUUAAUGUGUUAGCAAGGCAAUAGUUUACAAAGUUUUGAUUUGGAAAAUGAAAAUACUAUACUCAUAUUUACAACCUUUUCAAUGUUUAUAAACAUUGGUUAUAUUGCCAAAGCUUUGUCUGGAAUAUCAAGUUGGAGAGACACAAGCAUAGACUCAGAUAUGACCAAACAGCUUCAAGGAACUAAGACUGACUUUAUGGAUGCAAAUAGAGUGCUCUUGGAAAAAAAUUAGCCUGGUACAAGUUUCCCGGAGCAGGCUCACCAGGCCAGUGAGGAAGGUCACUCCACGACAUGUGUCAGAACCUCAGGAUAUUUUGGGGACUUUAAGGGGAGAGGAAUUAACCCAAAUCUAAAAGUAUAUUGGGCAAUGUCUUGUGGCAAAUACUUGGCUUGGCUUCUUAGUACCAACAGGCUGUUAAAAGUCCCACCUGGAUAUUCCUUAUAAAAGUUUCAACAAAAAGAAUUUAAAAGAGCCUAUAUGACCAACUGCUGUUCUUGCUACAUUGCUAUAAUCAGUUUUUGGAAAUUAAAUUUGUUUUACAAACAAA